GCAGUGGAGCCAGAGCGAAGCCUCUCCUCCGUAAAAGGCAUUUGAAAGCCUGCUGCUGGUUUGCAAAAAAGGCACCCAAAAGACUUCCAUACUGUGAAAAACAAGAUUCUCAGGUCUAACGAGAUCAACAUUGGCACCAUGUCUGGAGGAAACCAAGCAGUGUUUAUUGCCUGCGUAAUACCAUUCCACUAGUGAAGCAUGGCAGGGGUAGCAUCAUGCUGUGGGGUAGCUGGACGUGGGCAGAACAUGAAUUAAAGUGCUUUUGGCACAAGGCUGCAGCAUAACAAAAUGUGAAGAAGUGAAGGGUCUGAAUAUAUCAAUAUGUACAAGAGUUCUUACUUUGCUUAUUUUCCUGUGAAAGUCACAACUUGAACUGAAUUAAUAGCAACAAUAGCAGAAACAGAGAUGAAGAUUUUUCCAUUGUCACACAUGUACAUCUGAGGACCAUCUUGCCUUCUCUGUUCAGCCAUGAAGAGAAGACCAUGAUGACGACAACUCUAUCACGACAGCCAUAUUCAGGCAGGCCUGUGGCCUGUUUCAAUGCUCCAUUCAAAGGCCAUGUGGCAGCAAACCAAGUUAGACUGAAGAUAAGCCGAGAUCCACCUAUGGACGCAUAUACACCACUACUUAGGCUGUAAAGCUAUGGUUUGCCAAUAUUCACAUUGUAUUCUGCUUCCUUAUGUGGUAAAAAAUUAGGUAGCAGACAGAAAAAGGUUUGGGGAUGGCCACCCCAUAUACUGAAAAAUCAGCAAAAUAAAAGAAACACGUCUUUAAAUAAAUGGAGUUCACAACUGAACUAACGGGUGGAGUCUGGAAUAUACAAGGUGUGUCUAUUAAAUAACGAUACUGAUUAAAUAACUCACCUUUAUUUAUAUGUAUUACAAAUUUAAUGCUUUUCCCACUCAUUUAUACUCCCCAUUUGUACUAAUACAUUGCUCCAGUCUUGUUUUCCACUUGUCGAAGGCAUGGAGCAAAUCAAUUUCUGUCAGCUGUUUUAACACAUCCACCGUUUUCUUCUUUACAGCAUCAACUGACUCAAAACGUGUCCCUUUAAGCACUGAUUUAACUUUUGGUAUAAAAGAUAAAAGUCUCAUGGUGCUAAAUUGGGCGAAUAUGGAGAAUGUUCAAGUGUAGUAAUGUGCUUGUCGGUCAAAAACUGCUUUACAGAAAGUGCUGUGUGAGCAGGCGCAUUGUCCUCGUGAAGAAUGAAACCAUUUUCCCACAGUUGUGGCCUUUUUUUCUGUUUUUUUUCUCUCAGCUUUAUCAAAACUUCCUUAUAAUAAUGCUGGUUAACUGUUGUGCCUUCUGGAACCCAUUCUUCCAAAAUUACUCCCUUGAUAUCGAAACAUUCUGUUGGUGUUUUGUGCAAUUUUACAAAAAAUUUCUUUUAAACUUUUCGGCACACUACAGAAAACACAACCAAACUAAAUGGAGACUCACAAUCAACAAUCAACUAAACGUCAGAGUGUUUGUGCUUGUCAUGCAGGUUCAGACAUUAUCAAGGUCACCACGCUUGCAAUUAUGACCGGUUCUGACUGCUUUGUUUACUAGGUGGAAUCACAUUCUCUUUAUUUAAUAGACAUACCUCAUAAAUGUAGUGGAUAGGAGGAAGAGGUGGAGUCAGAGCAGCCAGAACAGGAACUGAUGUGGCAGGAAGGUGGAUUCUGUGUAUCGGUCAUCAGAAUUGAAGUGACAUCAACAGUGGGCAGACUGGAGGUUAUGACGAUGAGAGGCGGGGCCUUAGGCUGAACUGAAGGAUGAAUUAGAGGAGAAAGAAUCGGGUGAGAGCGCCAACCCCUGGUCUGGCUGGCAAAUACUUCAUAUUUUGGGCAAAUUAUCAAUAACACAUAAUUAAAAGUGUAA